UCCCUCUCAGGGUUGCACCCGGGGGGUUUCCAGUACUCUACCAGUCUUGGCUGUGGGAGGGAGAGUCAAGCAGAGGCCUACCCAUUCCAUUCCUAGCUUGGGCAGUGGUUAGCGAGUGGAAGGCCAUCUGCUACGAGU